UUAAAGGUGAGAAGGUUGAUACUAGUGACCUGGAAAUUUUUCUGCAAAAUAUGGGGAUAGAGCUCACAGAAGAUAAAGGCAUGGAAUUACUGAACAAUCUUCCAGUUGAUGACUUGAAUUUUUCCCUUUCUUGGAGCCAAAAGAAAGGUGUAUAUGAACAGAUUGAUGAAAGAAUUGCAGUCUUUUAAAGGGACAAAGGUAUCUUUAGAUAAGGUGGACACUUUCAUUAAAAACAUGGGAAUUGACCUCAAGGAGAAAGAAAUCCAGGAAUGGAAGGACCACCUACCAGUUGAUG